rnacentral:tRNA from 1 species
UUAAUUGGCAGACUAAUGCAUUAGAAUUAGAAUCUAAUUAAACUCACAUAUUAUUCCUUC